rnacentral:misc_RNA from 1 species
GGAAGUAGAAGUCGUAACAAGGUUUCCGUGGGUGAACCUGCGGAAGGAUCAUUAAAAAUGAAGCCGGGAAACCGGUCCUUCUAACCCUUGAUUAUCUUAAUUUGUUGCUUUGGUGGGCCGCGCAAGCACCGGCUUCGGCUGGAUCGUGCCCGCCAGAGGACACAACUCUGUAUCAAAUGUCGUCUGAGUACUAUAAAAUAGUUAAAACUUUCAACAACGGAUCUCUUGGUUCUG